rnacentral:rRNA from 1 species
ACGCUGGCGGCAGGCCUAACACAUGCAAGUCGAGCGGUAGAGAGAAGCUUGCUUCUCUUGAGAGCGGCGGACGGGUGAGUAAUGCCUAGGAAUCUGCCUGGUAGUGGGGGAUAACGUUCGGAAACGGACGCUAAUACCGCAUACGUCCUACGGGAGAAAGCAGGGGACCUUCGGGCCUUGCGCUAUCAGAUGAGCCUAGGUCGGAUUAGCUAGUUGGUGGGGUAAUGGCUCACCAAGGCGACGAUCCGUAACUGGUCUGAGAGGAUGAUCAGUCACACUGGAACUGAGACACGGUCCAGACUCCUACGGGAGGCAGCAGUGGGGAAUAUUGGACAAUGGGCGAAAGCCUGAUCCAGCCAUGCCGCGUGUGUGAAGAAGGUCUUCGGAUUGUAAAGCACUUUAAGUUGGGAGGAAGGGCAGUAAAUUAAUACUUUGCUGUUUUGACGUUACCGACAGAAUAAGCACCGGCUAACUCUGUGCCAGCAGCCGCGGUAAUACAGAGGGGUGCAAGCGUUAAUCGGAAUUACUGGGCGUAAAGCGCGCGUAGGUGGUUCGUUAAGUUGGAUGUGAAAUCCCCGGGCUCAACCUGGGAACUGCAUUCAAAACUGCCGAGCUAGAGUAUGGUAGAGGGUGGUGGAAUUUCCUGUGUAGCGGUGAAAUGCGUAGAUAUAGGAAGGAACACCAGUGGCGAAGGCGACCACCUGGACUGAUACUGACACUGAGGUGGAAACUGUGGGGAGCAAAC